UGCAUUCUCUUACUAGACAUUUUUGCAAUACCAGACUGUGUGCCAAAAGUUGGUAAAGUAAUCGGACAUGUCUGGAAAUGUUGGCAGAUGUUGGGAUAGUUGUGUAAUGAGUUUGUACCAAUGUUUGCAGGGAAUGAAGUGAUACAAUACACCUCGCCACUAGAUAUGCUGGGUCUGCCCGACUUCGACGACCCAUUUCUUGAUCCUCUGACCGGAGAACCCAAUCAGAUGCUGAGUGAAAAGGCAAUUGCAAAAUGAUUCAAACGAUUGAGUGGUGUCAGUAUAGGGCCACUGCCAUCAGUCUGCCACAGCAACAUCAACUGUGUCGUAGAUUUGCAUACUGAAUCUAUUGUCAAAACAGUCGAGGUAUGGUGAAUGUAAAAAUAUUGGACAGUGAGCAAGAUGAGCUGUAAUUUAUUGAGAUGAUAAAUUGUUGUAAAUUGAUGAAUAAGUAAUCCAAAUAAUAGGCAUGUGCAACGUGUCAAUGUGUGCGUGGGUUUUAUCAAGAGCAAGUAGACUCUAGAAAACAUUGUGAACUUGGGUAUUCGUUUCUGUUCAGCAUGUUAUAAUAAGACAGUAUAAUUUUCGUAUUGUUAGUGCUGUAUAGAUUUUGUAAUAGACACCUAUACGUUCUGUGUAGGUUUAUGGGAUAGUCUAAGCUUAUUAUCUGCAGCAAACUAAAAAAUAUUGGGAAUUAAUUAUAUAUCUACACACGCACGCACUCAUGCAUGCACACCGUGUGCUAUACAGCCCGAUUAAUGUACUAUUUGUAUUGUACCCAAUUAUUUAACGCACCACUCGUGAUUUUGUUUCCUGCAGUUUCACUGGCGAAUUUGUAAUGAUGAUGCAUGUUCAUUUGAGUCGAGCCACAGUCAUGUAUUUAAUUGAUAUCUUGAAGUAUUGGCACAAGUUUGUAUUGAGUGUAAAGCUUAGUUAAAAUGGAGUGAUUGGUAAAAGUUAUAUUGAUAUAACAAUUCACACUACGUAUUAUACUUUAUGUAUCUCUGCACAGCACGUUCAGUUUACUUUUAAAAUGACAAAUUGAAAUUAAAAACAAAGAAUCAAAUGUCUGACAGAUGGACUAACCCUUAGUCUACGUAAAUUUUAUAUUAUAAUACAAUAUAUAAAUGUGGUUGUAUGCUCCAUACAGUUAUAAUUUAGAUUAAUUAAAUGAAAUUUCUACAUGGUGUAA